UACCCUCGUGAUUAAAAGACCACUGCAGCUAAAAAUAUUUAAAUCAGGAAGCAUCCCAAGUAAAAGACUUGGCAAAACACAUCAGAUAUGACAAAAAUUUUGCUGGCAGAGUGCAAAAUAAGUAUCAAAAGACUAAGCUAUACAUAAGGCACCGUGAAGUGCUAGAGUGCUGCUCGGUACCAUUUGGCCCAAGAUGUUUAUAUAUCUCCGUGUAAUUGUAGCUAAUCAUAUAAAUUCUUUGUCUCCGUUUGAAAUCUGUUCAGGUUGACACCUCCACUUUCCUGUUGAUUAUUUUUCUCCUGUCUUCUGAUCUCCUUCUGCCUCUUACUUUUUGAAGGAUAAACUAUUGGCAGAGCAUGAGCUCGCAAAGCAGACAUUUGACUCUAUUUUUUUCUUUUCCCCGUUCUUCUAUGUUUAUCUCCAGCAAUUCUUGAUCUUAAGCUCCAGAUCCACCUCAGAUUCUCUCAGUAAGUCCCCAUUUUAACUUUCACUUGCCAUAAUCAUCUCCUCCCUCCCCCCUCCUUUCUUUCUUAUUCCUUCCCUAGGUUUUCUCCAUUUUACAGGGCAGUUAUAAGUACGCUCUCAUGUAUCGUGGCUGGGUUGUUCUACGUGGUGGGCUACGUGGGUCACAGCUAGAGUUCAUGAUAUUAUUUUCCCCAUUUGGAAGACAAAGCUUACCCUGAGACCAGUGUUCUUUCUCUUUUUGUCACUGCUCUCUCAGACCAGCUGACCAGAUUCAAGGUGGCCAAAAGAAGAGGUGAACUAUGGUCAUGGUUGUGAUCGUCUCGCUACUCACAAUGGGGAAGCUGUACACGUGGAUUGUAAACAUUGUUUUUCUUAAUUCACCGAAGAUGAUGCUGGGUUCAUUCUGUGAUUUUGCUCAAGGUCACAAAUUUAGGAUGGUUGUUUAACUCCAAGGUCUUCCCUCACUAGGUAUGGUUUUCUUUAUUAUUUUCCUGAACAAAUUCCUCCAUUGGGAAGCAAUAAUAUUCAAGUCUAACUGAUCAACAUUUGCCUUACUUGCUACCCCAGAAUCAAAUCAAAGUGCUAUGCUUAGGGGCAAACUAAUAAAAGCAGCCCUCCUCUUUGUUUGUUUUAAAAU
rnacentral:lncRNA from 12 species